rnacentral:rRNA from 1 species
GAUGAACGCUGGCGGCGCGCCUAACACAUGCAAGUCGAACGAUUAAAGCACCUUCGGGUGUGUAUAAAGUGGCGAACGGCUGAGUAACACGUGGGCAACCUGCCCCUUUCAUUGGGAUAGCCACGGGAAACCGUGGAUAAUACCGAAUACUUCGAGACUUCCGCAUGGAAGACUCGAGAAAGCUCCGGCGGAGAGGGAUGGGCCCGCGGCCUGUUAGCUUGUUGGUGGGGUAACGGCCUACCAAGGCAAUGAUGGGUAGCUGGGUUGAGAGACCGACCAGCCAGAUUGGGACUGAGACACGGCCCAGACUCCUACGGGAGGCAGCAGUGGGGAAUCUUGCACAAUGGGCGAAAGCCUGAUGCAGCGACGCCGCGUGCGGGAUGAAGGCCUUCGGGUUGUAAUCCGCUUUCAGCAGGGACGAGGCGAAAGUGACGGUACCUGCAGAAGAAGCCCCGGCUAACUACGUG